GGGCUCGUAGCUCAGCGGCUAGGCGCACGGCUUAAGGCCGUGGCGUGAACGCAGGCGGUUGAGGGUUCGAUGGCGCGUCCAGUCCAUGGCCGGGCGCGGCGAGACUCCCUCCGAGCCCA
rnacentral:tRNA from 1 species